rnacentral:misc_RNA from 1 species
UUCGCUUCGCAAUUGUCGACGUCGUAAGCGCGUUGCUGUUGUGUUGUGUCUCGUGAUUGAAUCCUAUUGAGAAUUGUCGAAAUUGUUACUUUGUAUUGCCGUGCCUCGCCAUUAAGAGAAGAUUCUUUUUAUCUCGCGGCGAAUCUUCAGCAGCUGCAAGAUUUUUAACGUGUGCAUCCUAUGUAUGCGGAUUGACAUCGCAAUCAGUCACGAUUGCCGUAGUGUGAUCAAAAUAAAAUGGCCGCCGCUGCGGCUGCCGCGCUGCUCGAUGAGCUUAUGGGCAGGAACAGGAAUGUCUUGCCCAAUGAAAAGCCCAAGGAGCUCAAUUGGGAAGAUCCCGAGUUUUGUAAGCUGUAUCUGGUAAAAUUUUGUCCCCAUGAUUUAUUCGUUAACACAAGAGCGGACUUAGGUGCAUGCCCCAAGGUACACGACGAUGAGGCCAGGGAAUUGUUUGAAAAGGCACCGCAUUCGUAUCGUAAACAGCAAUACGAGGAUGAGUUUAUCAGGUAUUGUCAGAGUAUGUUAAACGAAGUGGAGAGAAAGAUCAUAAAGGGAAAGCAGCGAUUGGCACUGAUUGGGAGAACAGAAGCACCGACGUUAACGCCAGCCCAAACUCAGAGGAAUGAGGAACAGAUUGCUCUACUAACAGAGAAAAUAAAUAAGUUGGUUGAAGAAGCUGAACAAAGUGGAAUUCAAGGUAAUGUGGAGCAAGCACAGGGCCUAAUGCGUCUUUGUGACCAGUUGAAAGAAGAGCGCGAAACUCUGAGGAAAUCCAAUGAUAACAGUCAUUACAACCAAACUGCUGAGCUAGCAGCCGCACAGGAGAAACAAAUGGAGGUAUGCGAUGUAUGUGGUGCAUUUCUUAUCGUGGGUGAUGCUCAACAGCGGAUUGAUGAUCAUUUAAUGGGGAAACAACACGUGGGCUAUGCCAGGCUAAAGAGCGCUCUUCAAGAGAUUAUGAACAAGCGUGAGAAGGCACGCGACGAGAAAGAACAAAAAAGAGAGGAGGAACGGAAGCAAAGAGCACGAGCGAACGAAGAGCUCGAUCGACGGCGGAGAGACGGCGACAGAGAAAGAGAUCGCGACAGAGAAAGAGACAAGCGUCGCAGACGAAUGGAUGAUGACAAGAACCGCCAUGAUUCGGGCGGUCAUAGCAGAAAUAUGAUGUUCAAGAAUCGAAUGAGCCAAUGUAACGGGGAUGUUGCUUAUUACAGAAAUUCUAGGCAUAGAAGUAGAAGUAGAUCGCGAGAUAAACAUCAUCGAGAUGAAGAUAGCCAUCGACGUCACGGUCGAGAUAAAGGGAAUCGUGAUCAUCGUAGUUCCAGCCAUCAUAACCGUCGCCGUCAUCGCUCGCGAAGUCGAAGUCACAAGUAACUUCUCUUGAUUGGAAGAAGAGAAGAACCAAGAGCGACUUCCAGAACUUGUCCAAGACAGCGUUUAACAUAUUGUUAAGAACGAUAUCUUACCGGUGUCAUGCCCUUCCAGAGUCCGAAGAUAUUCUCCUUCUGAACGAUGUGCGCCACCAUGCCCAGCAUUCCAUUUUUUGGUGAUCUAUUAAGAAAUCCGAAAAGUUAGUAAUUAUUUGAAAAAUAGAAGCUUAAGGAGCAUUAAUUCUGCUCUGAAGUCUAGUCUUCACCAAAUCCAGCGGUUGGAAAAGGAUCGUGGAGAAUGUCCCGGAGAACGAGCCCGCCAAGAAAGACUUUAAAAUCGGGUACUGCAAAAUACAA